GAUGAAGAACGCAGCGAAAUGCGAUAAGUAGUGUGAGUUGCAGAAUUCCGUGAAUCAUCGAAUCUUUGAACGCACAUUGCGCCUUCUGGUAUUCCGGAAGGCAUGCCUGUUCGAGAGUCAUUAACAACCGUUUCGAUCCCUUUCUUUCAGAAAUUACAAAGAGGAAAAGGGUUUGGUUAUGGUGGAGGAGGGAAAGGGAGCGUUUAGCCUGUAAAAAAAGAGGCUGUGUUCCGCCUCCCCCCCAAAAUUGUACAGGCGGUCGUGUGCGCCCACGCAUCGAGGUGUUGUAAAAGCUGCCACGGCACUUUUCACCUGUGCAGUGCGAGAUUGGCCAGCCGGUUUAAAAACCCCUCCAAACAAUCAAAGGUUGACCUCGGAUCAGGUAGGGAUACCCGCUGAACUUAAGCAUAUCAAUAAGCGGAGGA
rnacentral:misc_RNA from 1 species